AGGAAAACAGAAAUAGCGGCCCAAAAGAAUGACGAAAACAAUAGCAGAAAAGGAUUAGAGAUGGCGGAAGCGCCGUACGUAACGGAUAAAAUUAAAAAUCUUGUAUAACAAAAAUACUUGUAUUUGUUGGACUGGUGGAAGCCAAUACUCUCUCUCAUUUUCCUUCCUAAUUCCCAUAUUCUUUGCUUCUUUCCAAUCGAAGUUUGAACCAAAAAAAUGGAAGCACUUCUUGAACCAGUUUUCGUAUUUAAGCUGAAUCCAUCUUUCACUUCAAAAAACCCAUAUACUGUUCACUUUCCGAACCUUCCAAAGAUACCCUCAAAGCCACUUGUGGUUGCCACUUGUUGUGCAGGAACUCCUUCACCAUCUCCUUUACUCCCCCAAGAUUCCGACCAAAACCCACUUCAGCUUUCCCCUGAUAGGACCCGGGAUCGCCGGAAAGUGGUCCGCAUUGCUUGGGAGAAGCUUGUUAGAUGGUCUCGUUCUUGGCGCUCCAAGGCCAAAACUGAUGUUCUUGAACGAACUAAAAAGGUGGUGGUGCUAGGAGGGGGAUCUUUUGGGACUGCAAUGGCGGCUCAUGUUGCUAACAGGAAGGCACAAAUGGAAGUUAGUAUGCUUGUACGUGAUCCUGCGGUUUGCCGGUCUAUUAAUGAGAACCAUUUUAAUUAUAAGUACUUCCCUGAACACAAGCUACCAGAAAAUGUGACUGCAACUUCUGAUGCCAAAACUGCUUUGCUUGGGGCAGAUUAUUGCCUUCAUGCGGUACCUGUGCAGUUUAGUACGUCCUUUCUCGAAGGAAUUGCAGAGCAUGUUGAUCCUGGCUUACCAUUUAUAUCUCUUAGCAAAGGCUUAGAGCUCAAUACAUUGAGGAUGAUGUCUCAAAUCAUUCCUCAAGCAUUAAAGAACCCUCGCCAACCUUUUAUUGCACUAUCAGGGCCUUCCUUUGCGUUGGAAUUAAUGAACAAACUACCAACAGCAAUGGUGGUGGCAUCAAAAGACAAAAAAUUGGCCCAUGCUGUUCAGCAGCUAUUGUCUUGUAGUCAUUUACGGAUCAGCACUUCAAGGGAUGUUACAGGGGUUGAAAUUGCAGGUGCCCUCAAGAAUGUACUUGCGAUUGCUGCUGGGAUUGUUGAAGGCAUGAAUCUUGGUAAUAAUUCCAUGGCAGCUCUUGUAGCACAAGGUUGUUCUGAGAUACGAUGGCUAGCAACAAAGAUGGGUGGAAAGCCAGCAACAAUUACUGGUCUAUCUGGAACUGGGGACAUCAUGCUUACAUGUUUUGUAAAUCUUUCAAGAAAUAAAAGAGUUGGAGUUCGUCUUGGAUCUGGGGAGAAACUUGAAGAUAUACUCAGUUCCAUGAAUCAGGUAGCUGAAGGUGUGUCAACUGCUGGAGCUGUGAUUGCACUGGCCCAAAAAUAUAAUGUUAAAAUGCCGGUCCUGACAGCAGUUGCUCGGAUUAUGGACAGCGAGCUAACCCCAAAGAAGGCUGUUCUUGAAUUAAUGAGCCUCCCUCAGGUUGAAGAAGUUUGAAAAACUACUGUUUUGUCCUGGAAGUGGAAUUAUUUUCCCCGGGAUGGAGCUCUACUACCAUUAAGAACUUGAUUGUUAUUUAACUGAGCUGCUGAGCUGCAUUUCAUCAUUCCAAGAAAAAACAGAACCAUCUUGCAUAAAACAUUCUUGUACUCAACCUUUGAAGCACCCAGUACCCAUGCAUAUCGCACUAUUGUCUUAGCCUUUAUUAUCAGGACUUGAGGUGAGUAUCGAAUAUGAGUAUGUAUCUGGUACGGAAUAUACUCUUUCUUUUGAAAGGUUUAUAUAUAUAUAUAUAUAUUUGGAGGAUCAUAGUGAAACUCAUAUCCCUGGUAACAAGUCAUCCUAAUAUUGUGUGGGCCAACUAUAAAGUGCUUAAGAAAGAUGGAGCAGAGAGCAAGAGUUCAGAGUCAUCUCUGAAUUGUUCUAAGUUGAAGAAAUGUGAAGAGGAUUACAGUAGAGUUCAAGUCACAUUACCUGUCUAAAUUCCAACAUCUGUAUGAUAUUGAAAACGAUUUAAGCAAAAAUCAUAUAAUAUAAUAUGGUGAUUACGUUUUAGUUAA